rnacentral:rRNA from 1 species
GAUGAACGCUGGCGGCGUGCCUAAUACAUGCAAGUCGAACGGGAAACUUCUGGUACUUGUAUCGGUUGUUUCUAGUGGCGAACGGGUGAGUAACGCGUUGGUGACCUACCCCAAAGCGGGGGAUAACAGAUCGAAAGAUCUGCUAAUACCCCAUGUUGUCAUCGGUUUUUGAAAGCGAUGAUUAAAGGAGCAAUCCACUUUGGGAGGGGCCUGCGUCCCAUCAGCUAGUUGGUAGGGUAAUGGCCUACCAAGGCUAUGACGGGUAAGGGACCUGAGAGGGUGGCCCCUCACAAUGGAACUGAAACACGGUCCAUACACCUACGGGUGGCAGCAGUAGGGAAUAUUGCACAAUGGACGAAAGUCUGAUGCAGCAACGCCGCGUGUACGAUGAA